CAAGAUAAAAAAAAAACCGCGCGAGACUUAAAAUCCAAAAGUACCCUUGGAAGUUUCUGGAAACUACGUCUUCCACCCUCCGCUUUCCACAGGCUCCACUAGCUCCACCUCCUUGGUUCCUCUCUGAUCAUUCAUGUCAGAAAGGAAGAUAAACAGAAACGAAAGAAAUAAUGGAUUAAUUCCCGCUAAUUGCAAGAAAAAAAAACCGUAAUUAAAUAAGCAUAUAAAAAAAUGGUCGAAUUUUCGAAACUUAACGCGGCAGAUUUCGUAGGCGAAGACGACGAGCUAGACGAAGAACCAGGCGAGGUCAUCGAGUCGGCGCCACCUCUCCAAGUCGGCGAGGAGAGAGAAAUCAAUUCCUUAGGUCUUACAAAGAAGCUCCUAAAACGGGGCAUUGGUUGGGAGACCCCUGAAUUUGGGGAUGAAGUCACUGUUCAUUACGUGGGUAAGCUUGCUGAUGGCGCGGAGUUUGUAUCAACGAGGGACAGAGACAAACCUUUAAUUUUUAAUCUUGGACAAGGCCAAGUGAUUUCGGGACUAAAUCAUGGGAUUAUCACGAUGACGAAAGGAGAAGCAGCAUUGUUCAGAAUGCCUUCAGAGUUGGCAUAUGGAGUGGAGGGCAUGGAUGGUGUUCCACCAAAUUCUUCUGUUCAGUUUGAAGUAGAACUCAUCUCGUGGAUCACCGUGGUCGAUGUUUGCAAGGAUGGAGGAAUUAUUAAAAAAAUAAUUGAGAAGGGGGAAAUGAUGGGACCUCCUGGAGAAUUGGAUGAAGUUCGAGUAAAGUAUACUGCAACAAUAGAUGAUGGUGCCAUUGUUGCAAAAACUCCUGAAGACGGACUGGAGUUCUAUGUUAAAGAGGGUCACCUUUGUCCUGCAUUACCAAAAGCAGUCAAAACCAUGAAGAAGCGGGAGAAAGUAAAUUUAGUUGUUCAGCCUCACUAUGCCUUCGGAGAUGAUAAAAAGGAUUCCAAUACUAGCUUUCGUUCCUUCCCUCAGAGUUCUGUUCUGAGGAUUGAUUUGGAGUUGGUGUCCUUCAAGCCUGUAGUGGAUGUCACUGGUGAUUCGAAAGUUCUGAAGAAAAUUUUGAAAGAGGGGGAAGGUUUUGUCACUGCAGAUGAAGGUGCUUCUGUUACUGUUAGGUAUACUGCUAUGCUGGAGGAUGGUACUGUGUUUGACAAAAGAGGUCUUGAUGGAACGGAUGCAAUGGAGUUUGUUACAGAUGAGGAACAAGUGAUUGCUGGGUUAGAUCGAGCAGUGAUGACAAUGAAGAAGGGUGAGCAUGGGCUGCUGACAAUAAAACCUGAAUAUGGAUUUGGAAAUGCUGAAGUGAAGCAGGAUCUUGCAAUAAUUCCUCCAAUCUCUACCAUACUCUAUGAAGUUGAAAUAUUAGAUUUCAUAAAGGAGAAGGCGCCAUGGGAAAUGAAUGAUCAGGAGAAGAUAGAGGCCUGUAAGAGGAAAAAAGUUGAAGGCAAUUUACUCUUUAAAAAUGGAAAGUACCGUAGAGCUGGAAAGAAAUAUGAUAAGGCUUUGGACUUUGUCAGUGGAGAUAUACCAUUUGGUGAUGAUGAUCUAAAGCUGGUCGAGUCAUUAAGAGUCUCAUGUUGGUUGAAUACUGCUGCUUGUUGUCUCAAACUACUUGACUUCCACAGAGCUGUAAAUUUAUGCUCAAAGGUCCUUGAUGUUGAGUCCUCCAAUGUGAAAGCUUUAUACAGGCGAGCUCAGGCUUAUAUGGAAACCGCUGAUUUACACUUGGCUGAAUUGGACAUCAAGAAAGCGCUGGAAACUGAACCUCAGAACAGGGAAGUGAAGCUGCUACAGAAGAGUUUGAAACAACUGCGAGCUGAGAGCAACAAGAGUGACGCACAAAUCUAUACAACCAUGUUUUCCCGCAUGACAAAGGAUGGAUCUACAGCAACAAAGCGAUUGAAAAUUGACAAUGUGGAGAACAACAAUAAGCCAUUGGAGGAGGUCAUAGCAAUGGAAUUGGAAAAGACUGCUGUGAGUUCACAGCCUCCUGAGGAGGGAGUGGCGGUUGAUUCUUCUUGAAUUGUAUGCUCAUGCGAACUUUCUUUGUUAAACCACGGAGGACGUACAGCUAGGUGAAGAUGAGUAGACUUCUAGGAUUAAACGUCUUCACUGUUUAGAGAACUUGUGCUGGAUCUGACGGAUAUUAACUUCUAUUCCUUGUUUACUUCGUGCUUGCAAGUUCAUGAGCUCACAUUAUAGGCCAAAAUAGUUUCCUUCCUAAAAAUUUCGAAAGGCAGGUGGAAGCAAUUUAAGAAAAUCAAAUCACGCCUGAAUGUGUCAUGUUAUUCAAGCACAAUGUACAGAGCAAUGUGGCAUUUCAGGUGUGGUAAUGCACAGGCAGGUUAAUUAUAUAAUAGUGAACCCUAUGAAGUUAUGAUGGAGUUGCACUUUGCCUGUGAUAA